CCCUUAGAUGUCCUGGGCCGCACGCGCGCUACACUGAGUGUCUGAGAUACGAGUCUGCCUGGUCCGGCAAGGUCUAGGUAAUCGCUAAAAGACACAUCAUGCUUGGGAUAGAUUAUUGCAAAUAUUAAUCUUGAACGAGGAAUUCCUAGUAAGCGCAAGUCAACAGCUUGCGUUGAUUACGUCCCUGCCCUUUGUACAUACCGCCCGUCGCUACUACUGAUUGGAUGUUUAAGCGAGGUUCUCGAACUGCUAGCGACUUAGCUUCGGUGAGGUCGCAGUGUGGGAAGUGAACCUAGCUUUGGUGUCUAGAGGAAGUAAAAGUCGUAACA
rnacentral:rRNA from 1 species